rnacentral:rRNA from 1 species
GACCGCUGGCGGCGUGCCUAAUACAUGCAAGUCGAGCGAACGGACGAGAAGCUCGCUGCUCUGAUGUUAGCGGCGGACGGGUGAGUAACACGUGGAUAACCUACCUAUAAGACUGGGAUAACUUCGGGAAACCGGAGCUAAUACCGGAUAAUAUUGUGAACCGCAUGGUUCAAAAGUGAAAGACGGUCUUGCUGUCACUUAUAGAUGGAUCCGCGCUGCAUUAGCUAGUUGGUAAGGUAACGGCUUACCAAGGCAACGAUGCAUAGCCGACCUGAGAGGGUGAUCGGCCACACUGGAACUGAGACACGGUCCAGACUCCUACGGGAGGCAGCAGUAGGGAAUCUUCCGCAAUGGGCGAAAGCCUGACGGAGCAACGCCGCGUGAGUGAUGAAGGUCUUCGGAUCGUAAAACUCUGUUAUUAGGGAAGAACAUAUGUGUAAGUAACUGUGCACAUCUUGACGGUACCUAAUCAGAAAGCCACGGCUAACUACGUGCCAGCAGCCGCGGUAAUACGUAGGUGGCAAGCGUUAUCCGGAAUUAUUGGGCGUAAAGCGCGCGUAGGCGGUUGCUUAAGUCUGAUGUGAAAGCCCACGGCUCAACCGUGGAGGGUCAUUGGAAACUGGAAAACUUGAGUGCAGAAGAGGAAAGUGGAAUUCCAUGUGUAGCGGUGAAAUGCGCAGAGAUAUGGAGGAACACCAGUGGCGAAGGCGACUGCCUGGUCUGUAACUGACGCUGAUGUGCGAAAGCGUGGGGAUCAAACAGGAUUAGAUACCCUGGUAGUCCACGCCGUAAACGAUGAGUGCUAAGUGUUAGGGGGUCUCCGCCGCUUAGUGCUGCAGCUAACGCAUUAAGCACUCCGCCUGGGGAGUACGACCGCAAGGUUGAAACUCACAGGAAUCGACGGGGACCCGCACAAGCGGUGGAGCAUGUGGUGUAAUUCGAAGCAACGCGAAGAACCUUACCAAAUCUCGACAUCCUGUGACAACUCUAGAGAUAGAGCCUUCGCCUGCGGGGGACAAAGUGACAGGUGGUGCAUGGUUGUCGUCAGCUCGUGUCGUGAGAUGUUGCGUGACGUCGCGCAACGAGCGCAACCCGUACGCGUAGUGGCCAUCAUCAGGUCGGGCACUCUA